GACGUAGGAUGCAAGCGUUGUCCGGAAUUAUUGGGCGUAAAGCGAACGUAGGCGGUUCCUUAAGUUUGGGGUUAAAGACCGAGGCUCAACCUCGGGAGUGCCCUGAAUACUGGGGGGCUGGAGGACGGCAGAGGAAAGUGGAAUUCCCAGUGUAGCGGUGAAAUGCGUAGAUAUUGGGAGGAACACCAGUGGCGAAAGCGACUUUCUGGGCCGUUCCUGACGCUGAGGAGCGAAAGCAUGGGGGAGCGAACAGG
rnacentral:rRNA from 1 species